UACAGAGGGUGCAAGCGUUAAUCGGAAUUACUGGGCGUAAAGGGUGCGUAGGUGGUGAUGCAAGUCUGGUGUGAAAUCUCGGAGCUUAACUCCGAAAUUGCACCGGAUACUGCGUUGCUCGAGGACUGUAGAGGAGAUCGGAAUUCACGGUGUAGCAGUGAAAUGCGUAGAUAUCGUGAGGAAGACCAGUUGCGAAGGCGGAUCUCUGGGCAGUUCCUGACACUGAGGCACGAAGGCCAGGGGAGCAAACGGG
rnacentral:rRNA from 1 species